UACGUAGGGUGCAAGCGUUAAUCGGAAUUACUGGGCGUAAAGCGUGCGCAGGCGGUUAUGUAAGACAGAUGUGAAAUCCCCGGGCUCAACCCGGGAACUGCAUUUGUGACUGCAUAGCUAGAGUACGGUAGAGGGGGAUGGAAUUCCGCGUGUAGCAGUGAAAUGCGUCGAUAUGCGGAGGAACACCGAUGGCGAAGGCAAUCCCCUGGACCUGUACUGACGCUCAUGCACGAAAGCGUGGGGAGCAAACAGG
rnacentral:rRNA from 1 species